rnacentral:lncRNA from 1 species
CGAAGAGGAAGCUGUCAAGCAGUUUCAGCAGGCUGUUUACUUCAUUGCUGCUGUGAACAGCUGGAGGCGAACCAUCAAUUAAAGAGUACUUCCUAUGAAGCCCCUGCAGACAAACUCUCUGGGGGUUACCUGAUGUGACAUUGACUCUCCAAGUCCAUCUUCUAUCCUGAUUUUGAGUGGCAGGAAAGGCAG